rnacentral:rRNA from 1 species
CCAGCAGCCGCGGUAAUACGUAGGGUGCAAGCGUUGUCCGGAAUCAUUGGGCGUAAAGAGCUCGUAGGCGGUCUGUCGCGUCUGCUGUGAAAACCUGGGGCUUAACCCCGGGCCUGCAGUGGGUACGGGCAGACUAGAGUGCGGUAGGGGAGACUGGAAUUCCUGGUGUAGCGGUGAAAUGCGCAGAUAUCAGGAGGAACACCGGUGGCGAAGGCGGGUCUCUGGGCCGUAACUGACGCUGAGGAGCGAAAGCAUGGGUAGCGAACAGGAUUAGAUACCCUGGUAGUCCAUGCCGUAAACGUUGAGCGCUAGGUGUGGGGCUCAUUCCACGAGUUCCGUGCCGCAGCAAACGCAUUAAGCGCCCCGCCUGGGGAGUACGGCCGCAAGGCUAAAACUCAAAGGAAUUGACGGGGCCCCGCACAAGCGGCGGAGCAUGCGGAUUAAUUCGAUGCAACGCGAAGAACCUUACCAAGGCUUGACAUGCAGGGAAAUCUCCCAGAGAUGGGAGGUCCGCAAGGGUCCUGCACAGGUGGUGCAUGGUUGUCGUCAGCUCGUGUCGUGAGAUGUUGGGUUAAGUCCCGCAACGAGCACAACCCUCGUUCUAUGUUGCCAGCGGGUAAUGCCGGGGACUCAUAGGAGACUGCCGGGGUCAACUCGGAGGAAGGUGGGGAUGACGUCAAAUCAUCAUGCCCCUUAUGUCUUGGGCUUCACGCAUGCUACAAUGGCCAGUACAAAGGGCUGCGAGACCGUAAGGUGGAGCGAAUCCCAAAAAGCUGGUCUC